CCUACGGGCGGCUGCAGUGGGGAAUAUUGGACAAUGGGGGUAACCCUGAUCCAGCCAUGCCGCGUGUGUGAAGAAGGCCCUCGGGUUGUAAAGCACUUUCAGUGAGGAAGAACACCUGGUGGUUAAUACCCAUCAGGAAAGACAUCACUCACAGAAGAAGCACCGGCUAACUCCGUGCCAGCAGCCGCGGUAAUACGGAGGGUGCGAGCGUUAAUCGGAAUUACUGGGCGUAAAGCGCGCGUAGGUGGCUUGAUAAGCCGGUUGUGAAAGCCCCGGGCUCAACCUGGGAACGGCAUCCGGAACUGUCAAGCUAGAGUGCAGGAGAGGAAGGUAGAAUUCCCGGUGUAGCGGUGAAAUGCGUAGAGAUCGGGAGGAAUACCAGUGGCGAAGGCGGCCUUCUGGACUGACACUGACACUGAGGUGCGAAAGCGUGGGUAGCAAACAGGAUUAGAUACCCCUGUAGUC
rnacentral:rRNA from 1 species